rnacentral:sRNA from 1 species
ACUAAUUUCAAGAUGCCAGGACGUUCCAGUUCAAAUUCAGGUUCAACUGGUUUCAUCUCCUUCAGUGGUGUAGAGUCUGCUCUCUCCUCCUUGAAAAACUUCCAAGCCUGUAUCAACUCUGGUAUGGACACAGCUUCUAGUGUUGCUUUGGAUCUUGUGGAAAGUCAGACUGAAGUGAGUAGUGAAUAUAGUAUGGACAAGGCAAUGGUUGAAUUUGCUACAUUGGAUCGGCAACUAAACCAUUAUGUAAAGGCUGUUCAAUCUACAAUAAAUCAUCUAGGUGUGGUGGCGCACGCCUGUAGUUCCAGCUACUUGGGAGGCUGAAGUGGGAGGAUCACUUGAGCCCAGGAGUUCAAGAUCAGCCUGGACAACAUAGUAAGACUCCAUCUCUUUAAAAAAAAAAAAAUGUUUUUGGUGACCAGUAUAGUCUCAGAGUUUAGCAAAAGAACUAAAGCUUGAGAGUCACAUUAUACUUCAGCUUUUAUUGUUUUUAUUAUGAUCCUUAGUUGUGUAGUUUUAAGACAUUUUACCUCUUAAAAGAAUUUUCAAA